rnacentral:lncRNA from 1 species
UGGGAAGUCUUGCUCCUAUUUUCAUUGAAGCCUCCUCUUCUUAUCACUCAAGAGUUCUUUGGUUUUGUUGGAUUUUUUUAAUAUUUUUUUUUCUUUCUUUAGGGGGAGGAGGAGGAGGAGUGUUAGGAGGGUUACUCAACAUAAUAUAAAAGCAUGCUGUUCCUUUUCUGUGCCACUGAAGCCAAGAAACUCUCCCACAAUCCUCUGAAAAAGAUAAUAUAUAUCCUCAGUACACUGCUGAAGAAAAAGCCAGAAUCCACCCUGCAAAGCCCACAGCUUCCCCACAGGGUUGCUCCAAGCUCAGAGGAAGGCAGGUAA